rnacentral:rRNA from 1 species
AUUGAACGCUGGCGGAAUGCUUUACACAUGCAAGUCGAACGGCAGCACGGGGGCAACCCUAGUGGCGAGUGGCGAACGGGUGAGUAAUACAUCGGAACGUGCCCAGUCGUGGGGGAUAACGUAGCGAAAGUUACGCUAAUACCGCAUACGAUCUACGGAUGAAAGCGGGGGACCGUAAGGCCUCGCGCGAUUGGAGCGGCCGAUGUCAAAUUAGGUAGUUGGGGAGGUAAAGGCUCACCAAGCCGACGAUCUGUAGCUGGUCUGAGAGGACGACCAGCCACACUGGGACUGAGACACGGCCCAGACUCCUACGGGAGGCAGCAGUGGGGAAUUUUGGACAAUGGGCGCAAGCCUGAUCCAGCCAUUCCGCGUGCAGGACGAAGGCCUUCGGGUUGUAAACUGCUUUUGUACGGAACGAAAAGGCUCUGGUUAAUACCUGGGGCUCAUGACGGUACCGUAAGAAUAAGCACCGGCUAACUACGUGCCAGCAGCCGCCGUAA